rnacentral:rRNA from 1 species
UAGGGAAUCUUCCACAAUGGACGAAAGUCUGAUGGAGCAACGCCGCGUGAGUGAAGAAGGUUUUCGGAUCGUAAAGCUCUGUUGUUGGUGAAGAAGGAUAGAGGUAGUAACUGGCCUUUAUUUGACGGUAAUCAACCAGAAAGUCACGGCUAACUACGUGCCAGCAGCCGCGUAAUCUCUACU